rnacentral:rRNA from 1 species
AUUGAACGCUGGCGGAAUGCUUUACACAUGCAAGUCGAACGGUAGAGGGGGCAACCCCUUGAGAGUGGCGAACGGGUGAGUAAUAUAUCGGAACGUGCCCAGUCGUGGGGGAUAACGUAGCGAAAGUUACGCUAAUACCCGCAUACGAUCUAAGGAUGAAAGCGGGGGACUCGCAAGAGCCUCGCGCGAUUGGAGCGGCCGAUAUCAGAUUAGGUAGUUGGUGGGGUAACGGCUCACCAAGGCGACGAUCGGUAGGGGGUGUGAGAGCAUGACCCCCCANACGGGUACUGAGACACGGACCCGACUCCUACGGGAGGCAGCAGUAAGGAACUAUUGGGACAAUGGAGGGAACUCUGAUCCAGCCAUGCCCGCGUGAAGGGAUGAAGGCGCUCAGCGUUGUAAACUUCUUUGGAUGGGAACAAUAACUUCUACGUGUAGGAGC